rnacentral:rRNA from 1 species
CGGGGUGAGUAACGCGUGAGGAACCUGCCUUUCAGGGGGGGACAACAGUUGGAAACGACUGCUAAUACCGCAUAACAUGUAGGUGUCGCAUGGCAUUUACAUCAAAGAUUUAUCGCUGAGAGAUGGCCUCGCGUCUGAUUAGCUAGUUGGUAGGGUAACGGCCUACCAAGGCGACGAUCAGUAGCCGGACUGAGAGGUUGGCCGGCCACAUUGGGACUGAGAUACGGCCCAGACUCCUACGGAAGGCAGCAG